GGUUUCAACGGGUAACGGGGAAUUAGGGUUCGAUUCCGGAGAGGGAGCCUGAGAAACGGCUACCACAUCCAAGGAAGGCAGCAGGCGCGCAAAUUACCCAAUCCCGACACGGGGAGGUAGUGACAAUAAAUACUGAUACAGGGCUCUUUUGGGUCUUGUAAUCGGAAUGAGUACAAUUUAAACCCCUUAACGAGGAACAAUUGGAGGGCAAGUCUGGUGCCAGCAGCCGCGGUAAUUCCAGCUCCAAUAGCGUAUAUUAAAGUUGUUGCAGUUAAAAAGCUCGUAGUUGAACCUUGGGCCUGGCUGGCCGGUCCGCCUCACCGGGUGUACUGGUCCGGCCGGGCCUUUCCUUCUGGAGAGCCGCAUGCCCUUCACUGGGUGGGUCGGGGAACCAGGACUUUUACUUUGAAAAAAUUAGAGUGUUCAAAGCAGGCCUUUGCUUGAAUACGUUAGCAUGGAAUAAUAGAAUAGGACGUGCGGUCCUAUUUUGUUGGUUUCUAGGACCGCCGUAAUGAUUAAUAGGGAUAGUCGGGGGCAUCAGUAUUCAAUUGUCAGAGGUGAAAUUCUUGGAUUUAUUGAAGACUAACUACUGCGAAAGCAUUUGCCAAGGAUGUUUUCAUUAAUCAGUGAACGAAAGUUAGGGGAUCGAAGACGAUCAGAUCCCGUCGUAGUCUUAACCGUAAACUAUGCCGACUAGGGAUCGG
rnacentral:rRNA from 1 species